UUGACCCGAUUCCUCCCGUGGAUGCUGU
rnacentral:piRNA from 1 species